rnacentral:rRNA from 1 species
GAUGAACGCUAGCGGCAGGCUUAAUACAUGCAAGUCGAGGGGCAGCAGGGAUAGCAAUAUUCGCUGGCGACCGGCGCACGGGUGCGUAACACGUAUACAAUCUGCCUUUUACAGGGGGAUAGCCUUUCGAAAGAGAGAUUAAUACCCCAUAAUAGUUGGCCGGGCAUCUGGUUGAUUUGAAAGCUCCGGCGGUAAGAGAUGAGUAUGCGCCUGAUUAGCUAGUAGGUGAGGUAACGGCUCACCUAGGCUACGAUCAGUAGGGGAUCUGAGAGGACUAACCCCCACACGGAUACUGAGACACGGAUCCGACUCCUACGGGAGGCAGCAGUAAGGAAUAUUGGACAAUGCCCGCAAGGGUGAUCCAGCCAUGCCGCGUGCAGGAAGAAGGCCCUAUGGGUCGUAAACUGCCUUUACACCGGAGAAAACCUCCCCUCGUGAGGGGAGCUGAUAGUAUGGUGAGAAUAAGCAUCGGCUAACUUCGUGCCAGCAG